UACGGGGGGGGCAAGCGUUGUUCGGAAUUACUGGGCGUAAAGGGCUCGUAGGCGGCCAACUAAGUCAGACGUGAAAUCCCUCGGCUUAACCGGGGAACUGCAUCUGAUACUGGAUGGCUUGAGUUCGGUAGGGGACCAUGGAAUUCCUGGUGUAGCGGUGAAAUGCGCAGAUAUCAGGAGGAACACCGGUGGCGAAGGCGGUUCUCUGGGCAUGUCCUGACGCUGAGGAGCGAAAGUGUGGGGAGCGAACAGG
rnacentral:rRNA from 1 species